rnacentral:rRNA from 1 species
UACGGAGGGGGCUAGCGUUGUUCGGAAUUACUGGGCGUAAAGCGCACGUAGGCGGCUUUGCAAGUUAGAGGUGAAAGCCCGGGGCUCAACUCCGGAAUUGCCUUUAAAACUGCAUCGCUAGAAUUGUGGAGAGGUAAGUGGAAUUCCGAGUGUAGAGGUGAAAUUCGUAGAUAUUCGGAAGAGCACCAGUGGCGAAGGCGACUUACUGGACACAUAUUGACGCUGAGGUGCGGAAGCGUGGGGAGCAAACAGG